GACGAACGCUGGCGGCGUGCCUAAUACAUGCAAGUCGAACGAGUGGUGGACGGGUGAGUAAAACGUGGGAACCUACCCAUCAGAGGGGGAUAACAGUUGGAUACAGGUGCUAAUACCGCAUACUGAUGGAUGGACUCGGGGUGGACUAGCUAGGCGGUGAGGUAAUGGCUCACCUAGGCGACGAUCCCUAGCUGGUCUGAGAGGAUGAUCAGCCACACUGGAACUGAGACACGGCCCAGACGCCUACGGGAGGCAGCAGUGGGGAAUAUUGCACAAUGGGCGCAAGCCUGAUGCAGCCAUGCCGCGUGUAUGAAGAAGGCCCUAGGGUUGUAAAGUACUUUCAGUCGGGAGGCGUUACCGGCAGAAGAAGCACCGGCUAACUCCGUGCCAGCAGCCGCGGUAAUUC
rnacentral:rRNA from 1 species